rnacentral:rRNA from 1 species
UGAACGCUGGCGGCGCGCCUAACACAUGCAAGUCGAACGAGUAAGACGCCUUCGGGCGUGGAUAGAGUGGCGAACGGGUGAGUAACACGUGACCAACCUGCCCCCUCCUCCGGGACAACCUCGGGAAACCGAGGCUAAUACCGGAUACUCCGGGCCCCCCGCAUGGGGGGCCCGGGAAAGCCCUGACGGGAGGGGAUGGGGUCGCGGCCCAUCAGGUAGACGGCGGGGUAACGGCCCACCGUGCCUACUACGGGUAGCCGGGCUGAGAGGCCGAUCGGCCACAUUGGGACUGAGACACGGCCCAGACUCC